rfam:Lactobacillus mellifer strain Bin4 genomic scaffold Bin4_scaffold2, whole genome shotgun sequence.
AAUCUAAGAAGAGGUUGCUUAAGUUAUGAGUCGUUAAGGUGAGUUCCAAUUCGGACGCUGACCCUUGAUUAAAGGAACUUAAGCCGAAAUUGUUUAAAUGAAUUGGUUUAAACAAUUGGGACUAGAUUGAACAAGUCUAGUACUGUCGCAACUUGACAGUUGCGGGGCGCUAUCGACGAU